rnacentral:lncRNA from 1 species
AAAGCCCCGCCCCCCGCGCGUUGCCGGGAGACGGCGCCCAACCUUCCUCUGCAGCGCCCCUACCGACCCGCGCUCCGCAGCUCCUGAGGGCUUUCGAGCCCAGAUGGUCAUCUGAGACGAGAGGUGGCGGCGAAGGAGAGUCUCGCCUGUCACGCUCCCGGAGCAGGGGCUUCAUGAGGUGGCCAUGGAAACAGCCUGGCAGACUCCCAUCUCUCCUGGUGCCAUCUCCGGAGCGGAAAGUGGAGCGCCCCGCUGGCGACCAAGGCCGCACUGAGAGCCCUGGUUUGGUCAACAGUUGGGCUCCAAGAAGUCUCUUCCUUUCACUCUGCUGAGUGAAGCCCUUCCUGCCCUCAGGCUGGACCAUGGCUUCCAUGCUGCCCCUCUUUUCAAGGCUGCUUGUCUACAGUUCUACAGGUUUCUAGGCCCUUGGUGAGUGAAGAGCAGUUCAUUACGAAAUGACCUCCAAGAACAAGGCUCAGCAUUCUCUGAAAUCUCAUGAAGCAGUGUAACCAGCUCUCAAGUAUCUUCCUGUGAACUAGCCACAGGGAGCCCUGGUAUUCCUUGAACAUGCAUACCUUUCCCAGCGUGAGGGACAUGGACCGUGCCGUGCGAGGGACCCCAUCUUCUGCAGCAGGAGGGAGCAGAGAAGAGAACACAGGGAUUCCUGUUGCUAAAAGGUCUGUUUUCUCCUGCUAGCCACCCUCAUCAGCCAGAGUUCAAACCCUGACAGUGCCCAUGGAGAGAUCUGGUCCAAGGCACCAACCUCUUCCUGCUGGACUGAGAAAGAGCCUCCUACUGUGUCUCUCUUUACCUCAGCUUUUGCACACCUCCAAUAUAUUGUCCACUGAAGUCAGAAUAAUCUAAAAAUAAAGGCUGAUUACCUCAUGUGGUAUAAACUUAAAAAAAAAAA